AUGCACAGAGCCCCAGGAAGCAUGUGUGGGGCCUCCCACGAGCAAGAUGGCCUGGAAUUGCGCAGGUCAAGUCUGGUCCCAACCUGGCAAGGCCAAUGGAGCAUCCAGCAUGUGGCAACAAGCCUCAGUAAUAAAUGGACAGUCCCCCUUCUCAGUGCGGUGCUGCAGGUGAGGAAGCAGGGGGAUGAACAGGUGAGCAGGCUCCUGGGUGGCAGGGCCAGGGCGACAUGCCAGGCUCCACAGCACAUCUGUCCAGGUGUGCCAGAGCCCUGCAGACAGAGCCGGAGCGGGAGACAGCCCGCCGCUGCCAGGCCAGAGGAGACCAGCCGAGAAACAUGCGAAGGAAGGCCUGGGAGAGGGAAGGAGGAGAAUGCGGAGAAGCUCUUCUUCCUGCACAGGAUCAUUCUGCGAAACACGAGCCAAGCUGGCAAAUAAAUGGCCAUCUACCUGCUUGUCUGUUACUUACAAACAGCAAAGAGAAUUAGCAAGUUUCCUCCCUGCUUCAGAUAUUUCCUUAGAGUUCAGAUUCCAGAGAACCUUUUUUUUUAAAUGUAUAAAAAAGUCCCAAACCAUCAUGAAAACAGUUAUUAAAGACUAUUAAUCUAAUAGAUGAAAAUAGUUUAUUUUGCAUUAAAUUGAGAUCUGACCCUGGAAGGAGAUAUACAACAUUCCCAAGUUGCCCACUGCAUUGGGGGUGACACACUGUGGACCACAGUCCUCCACGUAGAGAUGCCUCAUUUUACAAGGCUUCCAACCUUGGGGUGCAGCUCUCCUUCAUGUGGGCCACUUAGCUCCUCCCCACCAAAGAGGAAAAUAAAGCAGCAUCUUCAAAGUGCAGGUAUAUUAGCUCAUAACUGACUGGUCCAGUGUCCUCCAGGGAAGCAACACAGGGGAAUCCACUGUGCCGAGAACUCCACGCACUCCUGGAGAGACGAAAGAGCUGGAGGCACAUGGGGGGCACAGAGUCAGUGAGCUGGGCCACCUCACCCUCUGCGGAAAUGGAGCCUAUGCACCCCUCAGGCUGGCUCCUGUUUCUGACCAUGCUCCCUGUGCCUCAGGCAUAGUGCCUUGCAGCCAUCUUUGGUUUCCUUGUCCGCUUUUGCACCUUCUUUCUCUAUGAUCAACCAGCAAAAU
rnacentral:lncRNA from 1 species